rnacentral:rRNA from 1 species
AUUGAACGCUGGCGGCAGGCCUAACACAUGCAAGUCGAGCGGAUGAAGGGAGCUUGCUCCUGGAUUCAGCGGCGGACGGGUGAGUAAUGUCUAGGAAUCUGCCUGGUAGUGGGGGAUAACGUCCGGAAACGGGCGCUAAUACCGCAUACGUCCUGAGGGAGAAAGUGGGGGAUCUUCGGACCUCACGCUAUCAGAUGAGCCUAGGUCGGAUUAGCUAGUUGGUGGGGUAAAGGCCUACCAAGGCGACGAUCCGUAACUGGUCUGAGAGGAUGAUCAGUCACACUGGAACUGAGACACGGUCCAGACUCCUACGGGAGGCAGCAGUGGGGAAUAUUGGACAAUGGGCGAAAGCCUGAUCCAGUCAUGCCGCGUGUGUGAAGAAGGUCUUCGGAUUGUAAAGCACUUUAAGUUGGGAGGAAGGGCAGUAAGUUAAUACCUUGCUGUUUUGACGUUACCAACAGAAUAAGCACCGGCUAACUUCGUG